CCUACGGGUGACAGCAGUGGGGAAUAUUGCACAAUGGGGGAAACCCUGAUGCAGCGACGCCGCGUGAGUGAAGAAGUAUUUCGGUACGUAAAGCUCUAUCAGCAGGGAAGAAAAUGACGGUACCUGACUAAGAAGCCCCGGCUAACUACGUGCCAGCAGCCGCGGUAAUACGUAGGGGGCAAGCGUUAUCCGGAUUUACUGGGUGUAAAGGGAGCGUAGAUGGCAGCGCAAGUCUGGAGUGAAAUCCCAUGGCUUAACCAUGGAACUGCUUUGGAAACUGUGCAGCUAGAGUGCAGGAGAGGUAAGCGGAAUUCCUAGUGUAGCGGUGAAAUGCGUAGAUAUUAGGAGGAACACCAGUGGCGAAGGCGGCUUACUGGACUGUAACUGACGUUGAGGCUCGAAAGCGUGGGGAGCAAACAGGAUUAGAUACCCGAGUAGUC
rnacentral:rRNA from 1 species